GUGAAAACAGAAGUUGCUCUGGAUUUUCUAGGGACCAUAUAUUGGUCGGCACAUCCAAACAUUUGGUAAACACUUCUGGGAAGGAGACAUAGCAAUGGCUGUUCUUGGAAAUCAGAAGAGGGAUUGAUGUCAAAUCUCUGCAUCUCCAAACCGCAUGAUGGAAAAGGGCAGAACUGCCAGCAUUUACGUUUAGAAGACCUCUUUGCCAGGAACAAAUGCUGACAAUUUGAUCUGCUCUGGGAUCCAUUCAAGAUUCUGUUUACCCAGCUUUUGCUCUGAAUUGUAUCGUUAUAGAUUACCAACUUAACUUACCAACCACUACAGAACUGGUGAUUCAUGUCUGAAGAGCAUCCCUGGGAAGAACCCUGGAGUGAAGGAGGAGAAGCACAGGGGGUGGUGUGGCGCUGAACAGAGCCUGGAAAUGCUAUAUCUCUCAAAAUGCUGCACUCCAGGGAGCCCUGAAAGCUGCUGCAACCUAUCUCAGAAAAUGCUAUGUCAGAAAGAAAAAUAGAUUUUUUUCCUAAACUUCCUUGAAUUCUAAAGACAACAUUUAAGGCAAUCCUAAGAAGUAGCCACAGAAUGUGACUUUUUUCCCUUUUUUUUUUUUUUUUUUUUUAAGUGCUUGUCUGAAAAUACUGCCUGAUAUGCCUGGAGAGAACCUUGGAGUACCAAAGGAAAUACUUGUGUCAUUGGCUUACUAAAUGAAUAGUAACUCUAUGGAUGUCAGAAUGAUUCAG
ensembl:lncRNA